UACGUAGGGGGCUAGCGUUGUCCGGAUUUACUGGGCGUAAAGGGCGCGUAGGCGGUUCGUUAAGUCCUGUGUGAAAUCCCCCGGCUCAACUGGGGAACUGCACAGGAAACUAGCGGGCUUGAGUUCGGGAGAGGGAAGCGGAAUUCCGGGUGUAGCGGUGGAAAUGCGUAGAUAUCCGGAGGAACACCGGUGGCGAAGGCGGCUUCCUGGACCGACACUGACGCUGAGGCGCGAAGCUAGGGGAGCAAACGGG
rnacentral:rRNA from 1 species